GCUACAUUCAGUGCCGCCUUGUCUUUUUAAUGUCUUGUCCUUUUUAUAUGUAAGGAUGGUUCUGUUUUACUUGGUGGCAGAAAUCU